AUUGAACGCUGGCGGCAUGCCUUACACAUGCAAGUCGAACGGCAGCACGGGAGCAAUCCUGGUGGCGAGUGGCGAACGGGUGAGUAAAGUAUCGGAACGUGCCCAGUCGUGGGGGAUAACGUAGCGAAAGUUACGCUAAUACCGCAUACGAUCUAUGGAUGAAAGCGGGGGAUCGCAAGACCUCGCGCGAUUGGAGCGGCCGAUAUCAGAUUAGGUAGUUGGUGGGGUAAAGGCUCACCAAGCCGACGAUCUGUAGCUGGUCUGAGAGGACGACCAGCCACACUGGGACUGAGACACGGCCCAGACUCCUACGGGAGGCAGCAGUGGGGAAUUUUGGACAAUGGGCGCAAGCCUGAUCCGGCCAUGCCGCGUGCAGGAUGAAGGCCUUCGGGUUGUAAACUGCUUUUGUACGGAACGAAAAGGUUUGGCCUAAUACGCUGAACUCAUGACGGUACCGUAAGAAUAAGCACCGGCUAACUACGUGCCAGCCGCCGCCGUAAGAC
rnacentral:rRNA from 1 species